UCUCUCUCUCUCUCUUUUGUCUCCAUCGUCGUUGGUACAGGAGCACCAUCGGUAUCAACACCCGUCGCACAUGAGGACCAUCGCAAACCAACAGCCUAUAUCAUCUUAUCUUGUAGUCACGAUCCAUCAUUGGGGCACUAGCCAAGCAUUUCAGGCUCUUCAGUUAUGGACGGCUCCUCUGUAGUGCAGCAAAGCUCUAAUCAAGACCCAAGCUUCCAACGGGUGCCACAAAGUCAGCAGCAGCAAAGGGCUUCCAAUGCUACAUCGUUGCCCACGUCAAGAAUGGGCCAAGUUUCACUUCCCCCUGGCCCACAUGUCCCUGGCUCUUUCAUACAGGAUCCUAAUAAUAUAGCCCAGCUGCAGAAAAAACCUCGAUUGGAUAUCAAGCAGGAAGACAUUAUGCAACAGUAGGUUCUGUGACAACUACUGCAGCGACAGGAAUCCAUGUAAUUACAAACCCGCAAUCCUCAGUUGCAAGCUUUAAUUCAGCAGCAGAGAAUGGGACAACAGCAGCAACAGUUUCUGCAGUCUAUACCACCAGUGCAGCGAGCCUACAUACUACAACAAUAGCAACAGCAGCAAUAGCAGCUGCAGUUGAGACAACAACUUCAACAAUAGGGUAUGCAACCUAUGUCUUCCAUAAAACGACCCAAUGAUAAUGGUGUAGUUCUCGUCGACUAAUGCAAUAAUUAUAUCAUCGGCGGCAAC